rnacentral:rRNA from 1 species
AGAGUUUGAUCCUGGCUCAGAAUAAACGCUGGCGGCGUGCCUAACACAUGCAAGUCGAGCGAGAAAGCUUCUUCGGAAGUAAGUACAGCGGCGGACGGGUGAGUUACGCGUGAGAAUCUACCUUUUAGUGAAGAAUACCCUUGAGAAAUCGAGGCUAAUACUGCAUACGUCCCUUCGGGGAGAAAGAUGGCCUAUUUGCU